GGCGCCGCUCUCCUCCUUGGAGGCGUCUCCAUCAAGCCCUCCCCUUCAGUAUCUUGAGGCAUGAAGACAACCACGCUCUGCCGGUCAUGGGUGCGCUUUGCUUUGGCAUGGGAGUUUUGUUGGUUCGGAUCAGUCUUGGCAUCGUGCCCUUGCAUCAGUGGACAACGCUCUCUCGACGAGUUCGAGCUCUCUGCCUAGUAUAGCUAGUGUAGUGUAGCCUGCCUUUCUGCCUCUCUGUUGCUCCCUUUGCUGUCAACCCCAGCGGCUCGUUGUUUUUCUUUCUUUUCAUGCUUUCAUACCUCCUGGCCAGUUGAUGGCUUUGUUAAUUCAAAGUCGGGCUUUCGAGCCUUAUGUUUAAAAAAUCAUGUCCCUUCUGUAAGCACGUCUGGCAUGACACCCUGUCCCCCCUUAGGCUCACCUGUGACCCUCCCGACGGUGAACCCUCCCUCAUUGACUGGUUGCUCGCCGCGAGACAGGCGACGCCCAAGCUGAUGUGCAAAGGCCUGGCUACUCUGACGCUACUUGUCCCCUGGCUGAUCUGAAAACACUGCAACUCCUGCGUCUUCGACGGAGAACAGUCCUCGGUCCAGCAAGUGAAUGAUCAGAUCAGGGUAGAGGUGACGGUUUGGGACAGAGCUGGGGCACUUGGUCUUCGUGGAUUCUUGCCAACAGACUAGGAUGUUCAUUGAUCUGUUGUAAUGAUAAGUUGUAAUCCUCCUUGGAGGCUUGUAUCUGUAACAAACUCUUCUUUGCAAUGAAAAGAAACGCAAUGUCAUUGCGUUUUCUCUGGGAAAAAAAAGUUCAUUGAGCAAGCUAUAUGGGUUUGCAGACUGUUGAAACUGUAUGUACUUCAUAGUGGAAGCAUACUUUUAAAUUUAGAGCAGAUUGUCACUAUGGAGUUCUAGUUCUGUACUUAUCUUCAGACUUUAUUUAGUUACUAGCAUAGCUAAGCAAAUAUUUCUAUCUCUUGGCAAGAGACAUGGUUUGGAUAGAGUUUAUAAUUUUACAAUUUAUCAGUUCUAAAGAUCUAAAAAUACAUACCGUGAUGUUAUGCAGAUCGUGGAGAUUUGUACUCUUGGGGUUCGAAUGAAAAUGGUUGCCUUGGUCUUGGGGGGACAGGCAUAGUUCGCUCCCCAGAAGUUUUAAGGAGUUCAUUAUUUAAGCUUCCUGUGUCUAAGGUAUCCUGUGGUUGGAAGCACACAGCUGUAAUUUCAGGUGAAGAUAUUUACACAUGGGGUUGGGGAGGUGCCAAUGGUACGUUCUUCGAAGAGGGCCAUUCUUCUGGUGGGCAAUUAGGGCAGGGAAACGAUGUUGACUAUUUUGAGCCGAUGAUGGUGAAAUUUGGCAAGAAUGCAAGAGCAGUUCAUGUAUCAUGCGGCUUCAAUCAUACCGGUGCUAUACUCGAGUACAAGAACUAACUACCGUGCCAUGUACAGGACUGUAACUGUAAGUGCAAUCGGGCAUGUUUGGUACUACGAAGUUAUACCUGCACAUAUAGAAAAAAAAAGCUCACCUUGGAUGAGUGUACGUGGAUGAACUCGUAUAACGGAACGGGAUGCAAGCCAGAUGCUUUGCACCCACCAGAGUUACAGUUUAGUUUAGCUGUAUAGUGUUCUUCCAUAUAUUUUCGUCCCCAUCUUGAAUCUGUCAUAUUUGACGGCCUGCAAACACAAUUUUAACCAAAAUAAAUCAUGUCUCUACAGUUA